UGGGGAAUAUUGCACAAUGGGCGCAAGCCUGAUGCAGCCAUGCCGCGUGUAUGAAGAAGGCCUUCGGGUUGUAAAGUACUUUCAGUCGGGAGGAAGGUGGUAAGGUUAAUAACCUUGGCAAUUGACGUUACCGACAGAAGAAGCACCGGCUAACUCCGUGCCAGCAGCCGCGGUAAUACGGAGGGUGCAAGCGUUAAUCGGAAUUACUGGGCGUAAAGCGCACGCAGGCGGUUGAUUGAGUCAGAUGUGAAAUCCCCGGGCUUAACCCGGGACUUGCAUCUUAUACUGGUCAGCUAGAGUCGUGUAGAGGUGGGUAGAAUUCCAUGUGUAGCGGUGAAAUGCGUUGAGAUGUGUAGGAAUACCGGUGGCGAAAGCGGCCCCCUGGACAAAGACUGACGCUCAGGUGCGAAAGCGUGGGGAGCAAACAGG
rnacentral:rRNA from 1 species